rnacentral:misc_RNA from 1 species
UUAAGUUCAGCGGGUAUCCCUACCUGAUCCGAGGUCAAUUCAUUGAAAGUGUGGGGUUGCUGGCGAGCCCACGAUGAGGUUUGCAGAGCGGGAGAAAAUUACUACGCUUGAAACCACCGCGGGCCGCCACUGAUUUUAGGGCCCGCCGGGGCGGCGGGGCCCAACACCAAGCAGAGCUUGAGGGUUGUAAUGACGCUCGA